UAGAGUUCUCGAAGGGAAAAAAAA
rnacentral:piRNA from 1 species